rnacentral:rRNA from 1 species
GAGUAGGGCGGGACACGUGGUAUCCUGUCUGAAUAUGGGGGGACCAUCCUCCAAGGCUAAAUACUCCUGACUGACCGAUAGUGAACCAGUACCGUGAGGGAAAGGCGAAAAGAACCCCGGCGAGGGGAGUGAAAAAGAACCUGAAACCGUGUACGUACAAGCAGUGGGAGCACGCUUAGGCGUGUGACUGCGUACCUUUUGUAUAAUGGGUCAGCGACUUAUAUUCUGUAGCAAGGUUAACCGAAUAGGGGAGCCGAAGGGAAACCGAGUCUUAACUGGGCGUUAAGUUGCAGGGUAUAGACCCGAAACCCGGUGAUCUAGCCAUGGGCAGGUUGAAGGUUGGGUAACACUAACUGGAGGACCGAACCGACUAAUGUUGAAAAAUUAGCGGAUGACUUGUGGCUGGGGGUGAAAGGCCAAUCAAACCGGGAGAUAGCUGGUUCUCCCCGAAAGCUAUUUAGGUAGCGCCUCGUGAAUUCAUCUCCGGGGGUAGAGCACUGUUUCGGCAAGGGGGUCAUCCCGACUUACCAACCCGAUGCAAACUGCGAAUACCGGAGAAUGUUAUCACGGGAGACACACGGCGGGUGCUAACGUCCGUCGUGAAGAGGGAAACAACCCAGACCGCCAGCUAAGGUCCCAAAGUCAUGGUUAAGUGGGAAACGAUGUGGGAAGGCCCAGACAGCCAGGAUGUUGGCUUAGAAGCAGCCAUCAUUUAAAGAAAGCGUAAUAGCUCACUGGUCGAGUCGGCCUGCGCGGAAGAUGUAACGGGGCUAAACCAUGCACCGAAGCUGCGGCAGCGACGCUUAUGCGUUGUUGGGUAGGGGAGCGUUCUGUAAGCCUGCGAAGGUGUGCUGUGAGGCAUGCUGGAGGUAUCAGAAGUGCGAAUGCUGACAUAAGUAACGAUAAAGCGGGUGAAAAGCCCGCUCGCCGGAAGACCAAGGGUUCCUGUCCAACGUUAAUCGGGGCAGGGUGAGUCGACCCCUAAGGCGAGGCCGAAAGGCGUAGUCGAUGGGAAACAGGUUAAUAUUCCUGUACUUGGUGUUACUGCGAAGGGGGGACGGAGAAGGCUAUGU